CUCCUAGUCUCCUAUAUAUACCAAGGAGACAUUUUCAUUUUGAAUCAUCUUGUACUUGAACAUUUAAGUGGGGUAAAAGGAGUUUGCCCCCUCGAAGAGGCUUAUUGUAUGAAAUUAUCUCUUUUUCAAGGCAUUGAGUACUUUUUCUGAGGUUUUUCUAUGCUAUAUUGGUAUUUGGUUCUUAACAUUUGAUAAAAUAUUGACCAACCCCAUGAUAAAUGAGAUAAUCUAGGGCCUUUACUGCCAUUUUAAAAAAGACUUUUGUUGGAUGGACCCUAAGUGUCCCAUAUCCUAUGAUUUACACUUGUUGAUAGGCAGGAAGACUGAGGCUUUGUAGAGUGUCUCAAAAGCAUAGAGGAAAAAUUUCCUGAAGUCCAUGGCCUUGAUUGUGCCUAUAUUUGAGGGUCAUUCAAUCAUGUCAUAAGAUUUCCCAAAAAUCAAUCUCGAUGAAGAGGGUGUUGAAAUAAAGGAAAAAUUUGAGGGCAUUCCAUAACUUUUUCCCCUUCAAGAAAUAUCACAAACAACAUGCACUCCUUUUCCUCCUCUGCAUCAAUCAUGUGAAAAUCCCUACAAACUAACAAAUGGAUUUCCAAUGAUUUGUUAAUAAUCCAUUUCUUUAAAAGGGAACAUUCAUCAUUAGACACAUAGAAGUUGGAUAAGCCCAACAACCUUCCAUUCAAAUUCAACAAAAUUGAAACCCAUUUUUGAGAGUUAUUGGUGCCUCAUCCUAUAACUGACGGUAACGUUAGGAAAUCCGGAGACGUCAUCGAGGGCCCCGGGAAGAUUUAUCUUUUUUUUUUAACAGCUUGCCCACCCUGAAAUCGGCUCAACUCGAUAUAGGGUCCAGUAGAUGGAAGAGCAUCACAUGUCUUGCGGUGUCCGAUGCUCCCUCGAUGACCCUUGAAAAUCUGGAGGACUGAGUACCAUCCAUGCUCGAUCGUACUCAUAACCAUAUCAGGUCUCCAAGGUGAACAACCUCUGGUUAAUAGAACAAUGUAGUUAAGGGAAGUCAACAAAACGGAUCCAUAACUUCGGGAAAAGGAUUGGCUCUAAGGGCUGGGCCUAGGGGUCUGCAUCCUCAACCCGUGGGCUGUCAACAGUCUACCCAUGAGACUGUCAUUGAUUAAUGCUACCUCCUUUUGAAUGGUAGUGCAACUACUUCUUCUUUUAGCUUUUAUAAGUGCUUGGGGAAUUUAUCGAGGUGU
rnacentral:ncRNA from 1 species